UUAUCAGACUUACAGCAAUCGCCGAAAGACAAAAGAAAGGCAAAUGUUGCGUAUUCCUAGGAAUGAAUUCAGACGAGAGAGAUGAAGUAAGAAACAUACGGCUGUUGGGUUUGUCAUGCGCUAGUAGCGCAUGUCACUGCCUGUGCUGUCACUUAGGGAAUCACAGUAUCAUGGAGUCGAUGGUUUAGACCCUUCUGCAUAACCUACAGUUGUGACGCUUUCGUUUUCCUUUCCCCCUCUGAUGAGACAUGCUAUUUAACCUCUCCUUUUCCAUAAUGAUUCAUUUUUUUGGGAGUUAGCGCUGUGUCCGUGUGCUUCGCUUACGUUUGCCUGUUUCUUUUUAUAGCUGUCCCUCAUUUACUCCCCAUUAGUCUAUUAAUGUCUUGCCGCAAAACACCACGGCCGGUACUUUUGCGUUUCCGUUGGCGUUGCUGUAUAUUGGACUACAUAGGUGAAUCACUAUCAUCGAGGCGCGGACGGCCAGGGGUUCGGAAGCAACAUCUGGGGUGAUCACUUCUAGGGGGAUCACUUUCGGAGAUGAUCACACCUGAUCUGAUCUGUGCGCGUAUACGGCCGAAAGCGUUUCUGGCUCUGUGCUAAGCUCGCUUUCUUAUGGUGCACAUAUUUGCUUAAGGUUUCUUGUCCUCACCUCUUUCCCCGUGCUUCUCACAUACGUGUGCGCUGUCUUCUGUUUCAUUGGUGCCGGCAACGAGCGGCGCGAGAUCGACGUGUUCGUGUCCUGCACGCAUCUGUGGGACGAAGACGAUGCAGGCCUUUCGUGCGUCAUCACCGUGUCAAGCGGGGGAAGCAGCACGGGGGCCGACUGCACGAGUCAAACAAGCAAGUUCCAGAGCAGCGGGCUCACCGGACGUGGCGAUGAUGGCGAGGAUCUUCCCACCACGGACUUCGGACGACAAUCCUUCGAUGGGAAGCAACUUGCUGCGAGACAGCCGAACAGCUGCUGACCCAGACUGGAGAGGUUCAGCUCAAACGUCAGGUUUCGAACCUGCGUCCGAGCGGUCACAUUCACCGUCACGAUGACUUGGCGAUUCGCACAAUUGCUGAAAAUUACGACAAACGCGUGUUCACACAUACACAAAAAUAAAGUCUGAAAACACCGCAGGCCAGAAGGCCAAAAGACGACGACGACGAUGGCGACGUGUAACGCCCAUGCCGUGCAAAACAACUCACGCUUCACGUACCCGGAGUCGAACUAACUACAAGUGUUUACGGGGCAGAUUAUGGGUAGCCUAAGGAUAGUUUGGGGCAGGUCAUCGGAAUAGAGCACCGACAAUACAGCGGCUUACCGAGUUGGCAGAGGAAAGACAAGGAUUGGAUGGUUGCUGCAUGGAGUAAAAUAGCUCUGAACGUAAAACCAUGCGCGACUGCAAAAUUUAGCUGAGAUGUUCACAGCAGCGUAUAGUAUUCCCGUACUAUGUUUUUUUCACCAAGCCAACAAGGUGGUUCAAGACUAUUUAACCCUGUAAUACAUAAUUCACUUUCUGUGUACUGCGCAAUUCAGCGUUCUAAGUACAAAUUUGCGCGCGAGAAAAAGAAAUAGCUAAUAUUAAUUAGUUGGAGCCGUGUGUAAGUUGUGAAUAGCUUAGUAAUGUAAUUCCUAACUGUAGUGCUAAUUAUGUAGACCUGUGGUUGGCCAUUACAGGGUUAAAUACAUGCCAGUACUGUUGUUGCAUGAUUCGAACAGCACACUCUGCAAAGUAAGUAUUCGAAACCUUCAGCAACCAGCGGCCUCGUAAAAUGUUCAUAGUGCACCUUAGAGUCAUACCACAGGUUGAGUGCGUGUAAAAAAAAAAUUUAGGGACGACGCAUGCCUUUCAACUGGCGUCUGGGUAUUGAUCGUGUAGAUGGAAAAGACUCGUGCAACUGGCGUUUUGCGCAAGCUUCGCAAUCGCCGCAUAGGACGGAAGAGCCACUUCAAAGUCGCAUGUACUUAUCCCUCCAUUCUGCAGUCUUUCCGCGUACUUUUCGCGGGCACUCCACAUUCACUUUCUUUUCGAACGAAUGGCUGUGCACAGUGCUUAGCCAAAAGCUUCCUUAGAGCAGUUCCAAACAUUCUGCCUCUAGAAAUAAGAUCUCUCUAAUGCAUCUACCGCCUUUCUGCUCUUACGGACGUUCUUCAGAACUUCCGAGUCUCCACUAAGACGUUCCAAACUUUUCGUUUCCCUGUCAGCGACAACAUUGACGUGCGUGCUUGAAUUCGAUGAAUUCAAGCACGCACAAUGAAUUCGAUGUCAUUUUUCUUCCUGUGAAAAAUCACUUCAUUGUACUUUCGUCGUCAUUGCGACAUGUGCGCGCAUGUGGACUAAAACUAAAUGGGGAGAAGAUUGGUUCGACAGUGUCCCCCUCGAUUUAAUUUGUGUAUGCAUUUUGCACGCCCAGGGAAAUGAUUUACCUCCUGUAAGAACGUUCGCAAACUUGGAAAUAAACUUGCUGUCAAUUAACGCCCUGA